rnacentral:rRNA from 1 species
AACGAACGCUGGCGGCGUGGAUAAGACAUGCAAGUCGAACGGAAUUACUUUUGUAGCAAUACAGAAGUAAUUCAGUGGCGAACGGGUGCGUAACACGUGGGCAAUCUGCCGAGAAGUGGGGGAUAGCUCGCCGAAAGGCGAAUUAAUACCGCAUGUGGUGAGGGAAGACAUCUUCCUGAAUCCAAAGCCGGGGUAACCUGGCGCUUUUUGAGGAGCCCGCGGCCUAUCAGCUGUUGGUGAGGUAACGGCUCACCAAGGCUUUGACGGGUAGCUGGUCUGAGAGGACGACCAGUCACACUGGAACUGAGACACGGUCCAGACACCUACGGGUGGCAGCAGUCGAGAAUUUUUCUCAAUGGGGGCAACCCUGAAGGAGCGACGCCGCGUGGAGGAUGAAGGCUUUCGGGUU